GAUGAACGCUGGCGGCGUGCCUAAUACAUGCCAGUCGAGCGAACAGACGAGGAGCUUGCUCCUCUGACGUUAGCGGCGGACGGGUGAGUAACACGUGGAUAACCUACCUAUAAGACUGGGAUAACUUCGGGAAACCGGAGCUAAUACCGGAUAAUAUAUUGAACCGCAUGGUUCAAUAGUGAAAGACGGUUUUGCUGUCACUUAUAGAUGGAUCCGCGCCGCAUUAGCUAGUUGGUAAGGUAACGGCUUACCAAGGCAACGAUGCGUAGCCGACCUGAGAGGGUGAUCGGCCACACUGGAACUGAGACACGGUCCAGACUCCUACGGGAGGCAGCAGUAGGGAAUCUUCCGCAAUGGGCGAGAGCCUGACGGAGCAACGCCGCGUGAGUGAUGAAGGUCUUCGGAUCGUAAAACUCUGUUAUUAGGGAAGAACAAAUGUGUAAGUAACUAUGCACGUCUUGACGGUACCUAAUCAGAAAGCCACGGCUAACUACGUG
rnacentral:rRNA from 1 species